UCAGCACGAGCGCGAGAACAAGAUGUCUCUUCACAACCUGGCGACGGUGUUCGGGCCGACGCUGCUGCGGCCCGCCAGCGCCGCCGCCGCCAAGCAGCGCACCGACCUGCUCGCCGCGGGCACCGUGGACGCCAUGGCGCAGGCCGGCAUCCUAUACUGCCUGUUGCAACAUCGACAGCUCGCCGCGCAACUGUCCUCGCACCAACGCGGGCCCAGCAUGAUGGACUGAACAGGGACUAUAAACACAACUAUUUUCUAACUUACCCUUCAGGGUAACAAAUAGUUUUACAAACCGAAAACAGAGAGCUUGUGGAUAAAUUAGGCCAUUCCUUUUGGUUGCAAACUAUUGUUUUUAACCAAAAUUAUAUCCAUCUUCGACAUCCACAGCAUAGACGGCUGUAGAAAACAGCUUUCCAAUUAGAAAAAUAUUUUUUGUAAGAUUUUAUUCCUUACUAUUAUUAUUAUAGAUUUUGAUCUUCUUGCUUGAAAUUAAUAAUAAAAUCUUUGAAUUUAUGUUUUGGGUUAAACCAUCAACAAAAUAGAUUUUGAUAAAUAUAGAUGAAAAUUUAUCAUACACACAAACAUCAAUCGAAACUUAACGAAAAAUGACUCAAAAUUCAAGAGUAAUGACUAGUGUCAUUA
rnacentral:lncRNA from 1 species